CAAGCGACCUGGAUCCUCAGUGGGUGUCGAUGAUCGAGAGUUGUUGGCACAGGAAUUUCUAGAAAAUCUUAAACAUGAUCUUUCUUACCAUAAAAAGGGUACAAUUGGUUUUCACAUCAUAUUGUAAGGUUACAUACUUAACCUUAAAUGGCAAAUGCGACAAGAAGGGAUUUCAGUGCUAAAAUUGUAAAGACGGAAACAAUCCUAGAUUUAGAUAUCUCAGGUGAGAAAAAUGCAAAUAUUGCGAUAUUUAUGGGUUGUUUCUGCAAUUCCCGUCUCUCUCUCUCUCUCUCUCUCUUUCUAAGUAUUUUGGUUUUGUGAUUUUGGUGUUGUAUAUAAGGAAGUUUUGCUUGGUAUGCUUGUAACUUUGUGGGCAUUUAUUGAAACACCUCUGCUUGGUCAUGCUCGGCUUGUUUAUGAUUGAGCCAAGCUCGAGCUUUGCUUAUUCAA